rnacentral:rRNA from 1 species
GAUCAAGUGUCUUAAGGGCAAUUGGUGGAUGCCUUGGCAUGCACAGGCGAUGAAGGACGUGAUACGCUGCGAUAAGCUACGGGGAGGUGCGAAUACCCUUUGAUCCGUAGAUUUCCGAAUGGGGAAACCCACCUAAGGUACUUGGAAAAUCAGAGCAGCCGGAAGUCGCAAGGCCGACUUGCUGCUGUGGUUUCCAAGUAUCGAUAAUAGGUAACUUAC